UUCUCUUGUGGCGGUUGAAUAGUAGACCGGCUACAUCCUUCUUAUAGCAGUUGAAUUGUAAACCAACUACAUUUCUCUUGUAGUGGUUGAACUGGGCCUUGGACCUUAUUCGAGACGACGGGUAAGUGGAAUCUAGGGUUACUCAUGCGUAUGCGUGAAUGUAAGUCGGUAAUGGCUGAACUGAGCUCUCGUUGAACCUCUUGCUUUAGACCAGCCUCCGAGUGGUCGGG
rnacentral:lncRNA from 1 species